rnacentral:rRNA from 1 species
AUUGAACGCUGGCGGCAUGCUUUACACAUGCAAGUCGAACGGCAGCACGGGGGCAACCCUGGUGGCGAGUGGCGAACGGGUGAGUAAUAUAUCGGAACGUACCCGGAAAUGGGGGAUAACGUAGCGAAAGUUACGCUAAUACCGCAUAUGCCCUAAGGGGGAAAGCGGGGGAUUCGCAAGAACCUCGCGUUUUCGGAGCGGCCGAUAUCGGAUUAGCUAGUAGGUGAGGUAAAGGCUCACCUAGGCGACGAUCCGUAGCUGGUCUGAGAGGACGACCAGCCACACUGGAACUGAGACACGGUCCAGACUCCUACGGGAGGCAGCAGUGGGGAAUUUUGGACAAUGGGCGCAAGCCUGAUCCAGCCAUGCCGCGUGAGUGAAGAAGGCCUCGGUGUAAGCUCUUCGUGGAGAAU